UACGUAGGGGGCAAGCGUUGUUCGGAAUUACUGGGCGUAAAGGGCGCGUAGGCGGCCGCCUAAGUCAGACGUGAAAUCCCUCGGCUCAACCGGGGAACUGCGUCUGAUACUGGGUGGCUUGAAUCCGGGAGAGGGAUGCGGAAUUCCAGGUGUAGCGGUGAAAUGCGUAGAUAUCUGGAGGAACACCGGUGGCGAAGGCGGCAUCCUGGACCAACACUGACACUGAGGAGCGAAAGCCAGGGGAGCAAACGGG
rnacentral:rRNA from 1 species